AGGUAUAUCAGGCCUCCUGCUACUGCUGCUCCUGGGAUCUGUACGCUUCCUUGUCAAUUCUGUGAUGCUUCAGGACCACGGCUCUUAGACUUCAAUCAAAUGGGCUAGCUCUCCAAAAAUCCAGAAUAAAUGACAGCGGUAAUGACAUGUGUGACUCAAAACGGAGCUCUAAGAUGGGAAACAGCAGCCCCAGAAUUUUGAAACAAAUCGGCAAAAUAAAUAUCUAUUUUCAGCUAAAGGGAAAAUAAACAGCAGCUUGGAACAUG
rnacentral:lncRNA from 1 species